CCUUCCCAUUUGCGAGCUGGAACAAUAUCAUAUAUCUCCCUCACAGCCUGCAAAGUAUGUAGUUCAUCAGAGUUUUGAACCCUUAAAAUCCCUUUGCAUCGGUAUACAUCCAUGCCAUCUUUCUUAUCCCAUAGAAUCUCCUCAAGCCAUAAACGAACCUUAUCAAGAUCAACCUGCUGCGAAUCACAAAUGCAAACAGUUCGCACACCACCAUCAUGAAGAUGUCUGGUAGAUAGCGACUUGCUUUCUUCCAACAAUGCUUCCAAAUGAGUAGCAUGAGUUGCAU
rnacentral:misc_RNA from 1 species